UACGUAGGGGGCAAGCGUUGUCCGGAUUUAUUGGGCGUAAAGAGCGUGUAGGCGGCCACACAGGUCCGUUGUGAAAACUGGAGGCUUAACCUCCAGACGUCGAUGGAAACCGUAUGGCUAGAGUCCGGAAGAGGAGAGUGGAAUUCCUGGUGUAGCGGUGAAAUGCGCAGAUAUCAGGAAGAACACCCGUGGCGAAGGCGGCUCUCUGGGACGGUACUGACGCUGAGACGCGAAAGCGUGGGGAGCGAACAGG
rnacentral:rRNA from 1 species